UACGUAGGCAGCGAGCGUUGUUCGGAAUUACUGGGCGUAAAGAGUGUGUAGGCGGUGCUCUAAGUUUGGUGUGAAAUCUCCCGGCUCAACUGGGAGGGUGCGCCGAAAACUGGAUGCUUGAACAUGGGAGAGGAAAGCGGAAUUCCUGGUGUAGCGGUGAAAUGCGUAGAUAUCAGGAGGAACACCUGCGGUGUAGACGGCUUUCUGGACCAUUGUUGACGCUGAGACACGAAAGCGUGGGUAGCAAACAGG
rnacentral:rRNA from 1 species